rnacentral:lncRNA from 1 species
UUAUUUAUUUAUGAAAAAUGGAAUAUUACAACUAGCUUACAAAACUCGGCAAGCGAUUUUGUUCUUUUGUGCCUGCACCUUUGGAAAGGGGGCCAUUUUUCUGAUGUUUCUAGUAGCCGGUUGACCCUUCAAAUCUGCACCACCCUUUUGAAAUUUUGGAACAUUAACCCACAAUUUUUGUUUUUCAAUGAAGAUUUUGUCCAAUUUGAGGGUCAUAACUCAUACAUCAUGCACCCCUACGAAUCUUACAAAGCCAAAACGUUCACCUAUUUUAUCCCUUUUCCUAGGAAUAACUACCUCAGAGACUUUUCCAUACGAGUAAAAUAAUUCCACAAAUCCUUAGCAGACAAGUUUGGUGCAAAGUUUGUAAAGAAAAAGGUCGUUUGGCCAUCUCCCUCCCUAGGUGCUUGUUAAGAACCUCUUUCUGAAGUCGAAGCCUGAUUUAGAAGAUUUUUCCCUUUGUCCCGCCUUCUGACCUGCUUCUAUCCAUAUUGACACUCCAUAUCAGAUUAUUUGAGAUAUCAAAAUUCUUCAACUUUGAAAAAAAUUCCUAUAACUUGUAACAAAUUUACAGGCUUCACUGUAAAGAACAUGACUGGGCUCUCAGGUAAGAUUUGUUUGGUUUUAUUCCAAUUUCUUUUGAAAUAUCUUUUAAGUUGUUGAGAUUAUUGGUUCAAUCCAAUCUGGCACAGACAUGGGGACGUUGAACUGAUCAUGCUUGAUAAUAUGGAUAUUGGAAACUGGAAAGUGUAGAAGUUGCUCAAACUCAACCAUUUUGACGAUUCAUAAUUAAAAGGAAGAACGCUUUAAAAGAUACAAGAGGCAAUUGGAGCUUGUAUGAACAUAUUUUUGACCAAGAACAAAAAAGAUUCAAAUAACAUAAUUAAAGCUUUUACACUGUUAUUCAGUCACUCAAACACAAAAAUGUUACAUCUUUAAAAAGUUUGAAGUCUUAUGCUAACACUAUUCGAAAAAGACUUAUCGGUAGAGCAUCUUUAGUGCUGGAUCUUGGGGAGGGAAGUUCAAGAUCCAACCACUAGAGACAUACCCAAGUCUCCAGUGUGUAGAUCGAUUCUUCCACAAGAACCACGAAGAUCUGCACCGUUUUAAAAAAAAUCAUUUUUUUACUCUCUUUCUCCCAAACAACUUUUAGAGGGAAGCAACGAAAUUGAAGAGGGGAAGGAAAAGGAAACCAAAAGAACACAACAACAGAUUAAAACAACAACAAUAGAUCCAAGAUAGAAAAAACAACAAUGACCAUAAUAAAUAAAAAAUAAAAGAAAAAGAAAAACACAGAAGUGGAUCUUGGAACAACAGGCAAGGGGACUCGAGGUUAAGCAUGGAGAUCAUCGAUCUAUGUGGUUAUUGCGAGAUCAGAGACCCCGGAGGCGGGAUCAAUCGCUCCUUGUUGAAGAUCCAUGAUCUGGUUGUUGAUGGAGGUGAGAAAGUGAAAGGGGAUGGGGCUAUGUUAUGAGAAAUGAGAAAGUAAAUUGAGUAGGGGAAGGGGCUCAUCACGGUUUAAGAGAAAAGAAAAAAUUUGUUUUUUGAAAUAAAAAUCCACCAUUGCUUGUCACUUAUAUUUAUUUUAAAUUAAGUUUUAAAGAAAAAUUUAAAUAUGAGAUUCAUUCUGAGAUCUAAAAAAGUGUCUCAAUAUCUCAAAUUGAAGGUCCCCAAAAAAUGCUCCAAAAUCUUAAAAUCGAAUCUAUUAUUAAAUAUACUCUAACAAAGCAUGCAUUAAACUUUUUUUUUAAAGAUGUGACAUGAUUGUUAAUGUAAAAAAUUAAACUCAAAGAAUUAUGAAAAAUCUCCAAAACACUUUUCUUGAAGAAAAAAUUUGUAGAAACAUUUUGGUUAAAUAAUGACACGGCUAGAGACGUUCUCGUUUAAGAUAUUUAUUUUUAUUUUUAUAAUAUUAAGGAGUGGUCAGAUGCUAUUGAAAUUGAAACACGCACAGGGAUUUGUUACCUGAUUCCACAAAAUAAGAAAUGGUUGUUGCUUUUUACUAGUAUAUGCAGUUAUUAUCUAGCCUUUCCUUAGGAUUCAGUAGUACUUGUAGGAAUUUGGGCAGAUUCCGUUUGGAUCUAAAAAUAUCUACAAACUUUACUCUUUUGGUGCAGAAAUAGCAAGAAAUAAUACUUUGGUGGAAUUACUUAUUUUAGACUGUAUAGCUACCAAUAAAAUUGUUUGCAUAUUCUGUAACACCAAUUGGAAGCUGUUUUCAUCUUCACUCUAAAAGGAAGAAUUAACCAACACUAUUUGUUGGGUAAGGUUUAAUGGCUUAUGCAGUGUCAUCUCGGAUACAUAUGUAAGGAAGGUGAUCGACGGCUCAAGGAUCUCCAUUUUGAGGGGUUCACAACUUAUAAAAAAUCUGAAAAAAAAAUUAUUAACUUUAAUUUGGUGAACUUUUUAAUAUAUAAGAGUUUUGUGUAUUAUUUUUUUAUGGUUGAAUUUAUAAAUUCAUGAAAUUUUUUAUCGAUGAAUUAUUUGCGAAAUACAUUCCUGUUAUUUAGGGGUCCCUUUUUUAGUUUUUUCUUCGGACUCCACAAAUGUUCAAGAUGACACUUGGCUUAUGCAUGUUUUGUUGGAAUCAUUUUGAAAAAUAUGAUAAAAUAAAACGCGUAUUAUUUGGACUGUGGUCACUUAAGCAUUCACAUGAUUGAAUGAACACAUUAAUGUGUUAGCAUGGACAACAUGUUUAGGUUUUUCUUGAAAGUUAGUAUCUAUGUUAAUAUCAGUUACAUUUACAAUAUGCUUAAAUAUAAUUUUGGUUGCCGUAUUUUGCUCAAUUUAUAAUUUUGAUCUUUCUAUUUUAAAAUAAAAAUAUUUGGUCCCUAUUUUAAAAAAAAUACAAUUUUGAUUCUCUAGACCUAAUAUAUUCAUUUAAAAUAUCACCAAGAAAUGAUUUAUUUAAUUAAAAUUAUGAAUUUUUUAAAAUAGGAGAUCAAAUAUAUAUAUUUUUUAAUAGGAGAAUUAAAAUUGCAUAUUUGGCGAGAUUGGAAACUAGAGUUGCAUUUAAGCCGCAACUAUAUUAUUCAUAUAUCCAUGUUAUUAAUUGACAGCCAAAUUGGAUAAGAUAGAUUAUCUCAAGCAGCCUUCUGUUAGUUUCAUGAAUUAUCUCUGGAAGAAGUUAUAAAUGGAAGUAGAAUAGUAGAUACUCUAAUAAUUUUUUAUUCUCUGCUAAUACUGUAAAAUACCUGUCUACCUAUAAAUCGUAUUGGCUCUACCAUUUUGCUCAUGCUUUAUGAUCUACUAAGGGGAUACAUUUUUGCAAGAUAGUACUAAUUUUAAUGGGGGAGAGAAUUCAUAUGACAAAUAUGCCAUGUUGACUCUGCCUCCUUGUGUAGUCUUGCAAAAGCUGCUGAAGACUGAGGGAGUUCUAGUCUAUCACAUAAAGAAUUACUGAAUGAGUGUCCCUUGUUUAUCAUCUAGAUGUAAUUUUCUACACGAAGCGAAGCCCACAAGCCAAAUAAGGUAAGUAGAAGCACUUCAGAAUGUGAAGCAAAUGUUGCUGUGUUGGGGCUUCCUGCUGGUCCUGUACCAUAGACUGAGGCUCCACCAGGAAUUGUUGUCAUGCCUGGUGCAGUUGGGGUCAUGAUACCUGGUGUAGUUGGUGUCAUAGUACUUGGUGCAGAUGGGGUCAUAGUAGUUGGUGUUGUUGGGGUCAUGGUGCUUGGUGGAUUUGGGGGGCUUACAUAAGUUGGUGUUGGUGGAGUCAUGCUGCAUGAACAAUAGAUAUAUUAGAAAAUUUAGAAUGUAUAAGGUUGCAUAUCAUGUUUUAUUCAUGAUAGGGUGAAUAAGAUAUAGGUGGAAGAAAUUCUCACCUUGGUGUUUUGGAGGAUGUAUAGCGGCAGUUCCCAUUACCUGAAAUGAUGAGGAGAAGCACACGUUAUUGUUAACAGACAUGAGAUAGUAGGAUUUUGUGACAGUAUAAUCUCAAUCAAAAACUUAGAUAAGCGAAUGAAGUCCUUAAUCCCUGGAUUCACGAAUUAUGACAUUGGUAUGAAUUAAUUUGGUGGGAGAGUCAGUAUGCUAAGUAGAGAGCUGAGUUUUCCAGAUUAUUCAUCAGUUAUUGACAAAGGGAUUCAAUGAGAGACUUUGGUAAGCUACUGAAAGAUAUAUGUGACUCUGAGUAGCAAUCUUGCUUCCGUUACUGUCAUUAGAGAAUUGCUCUCUAUUUUUCCCAAUAAUUCUAGAGUGUAUACUAGGAUCUAAUUACAGUAACAGAAGCAAGAUUGCUACUUAGAGCCUCAAGGGUAACAUAAUUCUAGUGUGACACAUGGAUCUAAUCAGUUUUCCACCUUGUGGUUUGACCUUAUUUCAAUGUGUCAUCUUGCGGGUGGAAUUUUGUUACCCUUGGGGCUCUCUUUCAUAUGUCAUUUCUGUUUAGAGUGGAUAGAAAAUUUAGUUUGGUUAUAUGAUAACAGAACAAACUUCAAAGGGCAAAUAACGAAUUUUAAACCACAAAGAAGCACAUCGAAAUCAGGUCAAAUUACAUGAUGGGACACUAAAUUUAACCCAUAAAAUUCUGAGAUGACCUCAAGAGAUGCCUUGAAGCUAUGUUGCACUCAUGCAAGUGUUAGUUCCUGACUAGGAGGGAUGCAGAAUUUGAACAGUCUUAGAUAUUGGUAACUGGUAAGGUAAUAUAUAUGGAGAUUUAUGAGAGACUGCUAGCAUGAAAAAGGUAUAUUUGAUAUGGGAACAUGGGAAUGCAAAAUUUCUAGACCAUCCACAAGUUGUUGCUUUGAACACAUAGAAUGAAAAGUUUCACUUGUCUAUUUUUAAGACACCAAAAUGUUAAUUUAAUACUUUAUAUUGUGCUUAAUGAUCAGGCUUUAAUGUUUGAUGAGAAUUCUUACUAGGAUCCUUGUUUGUAAGUGUGGCAGUUCCUCCAAAUGCGCAGCUUGUAGGAGCAGG